CCCCAGUCGGUGGGAGAGGGGAGUGGAAUUCCAGGUGUAGCGGUGAAAUGCGUANAGAUCUGGAGGAACAUCAGUGGCGAAGGCGACUCCCUGGCCAAAGACUGACGCUCAUGUGCGAAAGUGUGGGUAGCGAACAGGAUUAGAUACCCUGGUAGUCCACACCGUAAACGCUGUCUACUACGAACAGGAUUAGAUACCCUGGUAGUCCACACCGUAAACGCUGUCUACUANCUGUGUGUGAAUUUAAUUCGUGCGUACGAAGCUAACGCGCUAAGUANACCGCCUGGGGAGUNCGGGCGCAAGGUUAAAACUCNAAGGAAUUGANGGGGG
rnacentral:rRNA from 1 species